rnacentral:rRNA from 1 species
UACGUAGGGUGCGAGCGUUGUCCGGAAUUACUGGGCGUAAAGAGCUCGUAGGUGGUUUGUCGCGUUGUCCGUGAAAACUCACAACUCAAUUGUGGGCGUGCGGGCGAUACGGGCAGACUGGAGUACUGCAGGGGAGACUGGAAUUCCUGGUGUAGCAGUGAAAUGCGUAGAUAUCAGGAGGAAUACCGAUGGCGAAGGCAGGUCUCUGGGCUAACACUGACGCUCAUGCACGAAAGCGUGGGGAGCAAACAGG